GAACGCGUUGGCCCAAUUGAUUGAUGGUGCUUGCACCUGAUUGAUUUUGGUCGCCAACGAGUGGCGGACGGGUGAGUAACACGUAGGUAACCUGCCCAGAAGCGGGGGACAACAUUUGGAAACAGAUGCUAAUACCGCAUAACANCGUUGUUCGCAUGAACAACGCUUAAAAGAUGGCUUCUCGCUAUCACUUCUGGAUGGACCUGCGGUGCAUUAGCUUGUUGGUGGGGUAACGGCCUACCAAGGCGAUGAUGCAUAGCCGAGUUGAGAGACUGAUCGGCCACAAUGGGACUGAGACACGGCCCAUACUCCUACGGGAGGCAGCAGUAGGGAAUCUUCCACAAUGGGCGCAAGCCUGAUGGAGCAACACCGCGUGAGUGAAGAAGGGUUUCGGCUCGUAAAGCUCUGUUGUUAAAGAAGAACACGUAUGAGAGUAACUGUUCAUACGUUGACGGUAUUUAACCAGAAAGUCACGGCUAACUACGUGCCAGCAGCCGCGGUAAUACGUAGGUGGCAAGCGUUAUCCGGAUUUAUUGGGCGUAAAGAGAGUGCAGGCGGUUUUCUAAGUCUGAUGUGAAAGCCUUCGGCUUAACCGGAGAAGUGCAUCGGAAACUGGAUAACUUGAGUGCAGAAGAGGGUAGUGGAACUCCAUGUGUAGCGGUGGAAUGCGUAGAUAUAUGGAAGAACACCAGUGGCGAAGGCGGCUACCUGGUCUGCAACUGACGCUGAGACUCGAAAGCAUGGGUAGCGAACAGGAUUAGAUACCCUGGUAGUCCAUGCCGUAAACGAUGAGUGCUAGGUGUUGGAGGGUUUCCGCCCUUCAGUGCCGGAGCUAACGCAUUAAGCACUCCGCCUGGGGAGUACGACCGCAAGGUUGAAACUCAAAGGAAUUGACGGGGGCCCGCACAAGCGGUGGAGCAUGUGGUUUAAUUCGAAGCUACGCGAAGAACCUUACCAGGUCUUGACAUCUUGCGCCAACCCUAGAGAUAGGGCGUUUCCUUCGGGAACGCAAUGACAGGUGGUGCAUGGUCGUCGUCAGCUCGUGUCGUGAGAUGUUGGGUUAAGUCCCGCAACGAGCGCAACCCUUGUUACUAGUUGCCAGCAUUAAGUUGGGCACUCUAGUGAGACUGCCGGUGACAAACCGGAGGAAGGUGGGGACGACGUCAGAUCAUCAUGCCCCUUAUGACCUGGGCUACACACGUGCUACAAUGGACGGUACAACGAGUCGCGAACUCGCGAGGGCAAGCAAAUCUCUUAAAACCGUUCUCAGUUCGGACUGCAGGCUGCAACUCGCCUGCACGAAGUCGGAAUCGCUAGUAAUCGCGGAUCAGCAUGCCGCGGUGAAUACGUUCCCGGGCCUUGUACACACCGCCCGUCACACCAUGAGAGUUUGUAACACCCAAAGUCGGUGGGGUAACCUUUAGGAGCCAGCC
rnacentral:rRNA from 1 species